CAGUAGCCGCGGUAACACGUAGGGUGCGAGCGUUGUCCGGAAUUACUGGGCGUAAAGAGCUCGUAGGUGGUUUGUCGCGUUGUUCGUGAAAACUCACAGCUUAACUGUGGGCGUGCGGGCGAUACGGGCAGACUAGAGUACUGCAGGGGAGACUGGAAUCCCUGGUGUAGCGGUGGAAUGCGCAGAUAUCAGGAGGAACACCGGUGGCGAAGGCGGGUCUCUGGGCAGUAACUGACGCUGAGGAGCGAAAGCGUGGGGAGCGAACAGGAUUAGAUACCCGUGUAGUCCCUGUCUCUUAUAC
rnacentral:rRNA from 1 species